ACUCCUACGGGAGGCAGCAGUGGGGAAUUUUGGACAAUGGGCGCAAGCCUGAUCCAGCCAUGCCGCGUGCGGGAAGAAGGCCUUCGGGUUGUAAACCGCUUUUGUCAGGGAAGAAACGCUCUGGGCUAAUACCCCGGAGUAAUGACGGUACCUGAAGAAUAAGCACCGGCUAACUACGUGCCAGCAGCCGCGGUAAUACGUAGGGUGCAAGCGUUAAUCGGAAUUACUGGGCGUAAAGCGUGCGCAGGCGGUCAUGCAAGACAGAUGUGAAAUCCCC
rnacentral:rRNA from 1 species